rnacentral:misc_RNA from 1 species
UUUUCCCCUUUGAUUUUCCCAAAAUUUAAUGAUUUUAUUGAGAAUUUGAAUGUUUUCUAUUAAAAAAAAAUAUAUUUUGUGUUUUGUGUGCUAUAUGUGGUUGUACUAGCAGGAAAGGCAUUGACUCGGAUAACAGAAAUAAAACAUUCACGGGUAGUAUCGGUAGCGGUGUCUUGGUAACGGUAGUAUAAACAAUGUACAGGCCCGUAACGCAGCUACUACAAAAUUAUCGAUAGAAAAUUAAAAUUCCGUUAUGUUUGCUUUUAGGCUUUUAUUAUUAGAUUAUUUUUGUACAUAAACCGGUUCUGUUGAAGUAGUACACUUUGCCUCGCCCCCACUGUAGUUGCGUCUCCCUUCUCUUAUUCCUCCAUGCUAUUUUUACAGAUUUAAAGGUUAUAAUAGCCAACAAAAAUUGUUUAGGAUUAUUAUAGUUUUCUGGGCUAAAAAUAAUUGAUAUUUUAGCUAAAAGUGUUAAUAAUAAUCAGCUAACCUUUUUUAUGAGUUUCCUUAAUUAGUAGAUAUCCUGACACACAGAAAUUAAUUAAUAUUCUGGUGUAUAUGUAAGUACAGAAAAAUUCUUAUUUCUCCCUAAAAAUACUUAACUUUUAGUGUAAAUAUCUAGAUAAUAUAUUGAAUAAUAUGUUCCAGUAAAUAGUUUGAUCUUAUAUAAAUAAUUCCUAAGGUAUUCUCUUAAUGAAAGUGCUUUAAGAUACUUAGAAUUACCAUUCUUAACUUCUUGCAAAGUUAUUGUGGUUUGAACCUGAUAAAAAUAAAAGAUAUUAUGGAAAAUAAAAUUCUAGACGAAGAUAACUCAGAUUUUUUUAUUAAUUUUCCACCAGAAGUACAAAAAGCUAUAGAUGAGGUACUGCCCAAUAAAGAUUCUUUAGAUGAACCAGAUUUCAAUAGUAUUGACUACAUAAAUUCCCUGUUUCCCACUGAACAGUCCCUUUCAAACAUUGAUGAAAUGGUUAUAAAAAUGGAGAAUCAGAUUCAUACAAUAGAUAAUGAUAUUUCAACAGUGAUCCAAAGCCAGAUUGAGGCUAGCGUAGAUGGAAGGGAAGCGCUAGGUGAGUCUCAAAAGAUUAUUAAACAAUUAUUCUUACACAUAAAGGACAUCAAGGAACGGGCAGAAAAGUCUGAGGAGAUGGUUAGAGAAAUCACCAGAGACAUUAAGCAAUUAGAUUGUGCUAAAAGAAAUUUAACUCUGGCAAUAACAACACUGAAUCAUCUUCAUAUGUUAGUGGGUGGUGUUGAUACAUUAAAGUCUUUAACUGAAAAGCAUUUGUAUGGAGAAAUAGCUCUUCCUCUCCAAGCAAUUAGCGAAGUUAUGACUCAUUUUGAACAUUAUUCGGACAUACCUCAAAUAAAAAAAUUAAGCGAUCAAGUGAAAAGUAUUCACACAGAGUUAGCUGAUCAAAUUACACAUGAUUUUAAGGACGCUUUUCAAGGUGCAAAUAGUAAAAAUACAAUACCAAGCAAACAGUUACAACAGGCUUGUUUAGUGGUAUCUAUAUUAAACCCCAAAGUAAAGAAGGACCUUCUAAAAUGGUUUAUAACUUUGGAACUGCAGGAAUACAGUCACUUGUUUCAAGAGACUGAAGAUACAGCUUGGCUAGAUAAAAUAGAUAAAAGAUACGCAUGGGUUAAAAGGCAUUUGCUGGAGUUUGAAGAAAAGCUAGGUCGUAUGUUCCCUGAAAACUGGGAAGUCUCUGAGAGAAUUGCUGUUCAGUUUUGUCACCACACAAGAGAAGAGUUAUCAAAAAUAAUGGCUAAGAGAAAAAACGAAAUUGAUGUGAAGCUACUAUUGUAUGCCAUUCAAAAGACUAGUGCUUUUGAGAAUUUGUUGUUCAAGAGAUUUACAGGGGCUACAGUCAAUGAGGGGCUUAAUACAAAUCAUCUGGAUGAGCAUAAGAAGAAAACAGAAAAACAUAAUAAUGGGGCAGUAAAUAACGAAUUGUUGGAUUUUGCUGAUUCUCCCUUUAACGGAUUAAUAGGUCGUUGUUUUAUUCCCUAUCUGGACAUUUAUAUUGAAAGCUUGGAUAGGAAUCUGUCCGACCUUAUAGACAGGUUUGUACAGGACGAAAAACAACACAAACCGAUUGAAAAUGCCGAAACUCAAGCAGCAAUCUUACCCUCCUGUCCAGAUCUGUUUGUUUUCUAUAAAAAGAGCAUGAUUCAAUGCACUCAGUUAGAUAGAGGUCAAUCGAUGCUUAGUUUAACAAGAACCUUCCAAAAAUACCUACAAGAAUACUCGGAAAAACUGCUUUAUAACAACUUGCCAAAAAUUGAAUGCCAGUCGUUGGGUAGUUCAGUUCAGAAUUUUACAAAAGAUCUUCAAAAGAUUUCUACCUCGGGAUUAAUACAGAAUUUUUCUUCUUUGUUAAAGGAAGGGGAAAUGAUGAGAUUUGCCAAAGACGAACAGACUAAAAUUUGCUGUAUUUUAACCACUGCCGAGUAUUGUCUGGAGACCACUCAACAGUUACAAGAUAAAUUAAAAGAGAAAAUUGAUGCCACGUUGGCAGACCAAAUAGAUCUGUCAAAAGAACAAGAUCUGUUUCAUAAGGUUAUUUCUAAUUGUAUUCAGUUGUUAGUACAAGAUCUGGAAAAUGCUUGCGAACCAUCUUUAACAGCCAUGUCUAAGAUUCCAUGGCAAAAUAUUGACGCUGUUGGAGACCAGAGUCCCUACAUUACAUCUAUAACAAUGCAUCUAAAAACAACGAUUCCAAUAAUUCGUGAUAGUUUAGCUCAUUCCAGGAAAUAUUUUACACAGUUUUGCAUCAAAUUUGCCAAUAGUUUUAUCCCAAAGUUUAUACAGAACAUUUAUAAGUGUAAACCAAUAAACACAGAAGGUAUGAAUUACAUGUCUACUACCACAGAAUUAUUUAACUAAAGUCCCUAGGUCUAGGGAUUUUAAACCUAACGUAGCUCUAGACUCAUGGGUAAGCGGAAUAGGGUAAAGGUGCAGAACAGUUAUUACUAGACACUCAUAUGCUUAAAACGGUUUUGUUAAAUUUGCCUUCAAUAUCGUCUCAAAUAAAUAGGACAGCGCCGGCAGCCUACUCAAAAGUUGUCACAAAAG